rnacentral:lncRNA from 1 species
GUAGCCCCUCAGGAGAGGUGCUUAGCAUGAAGUUCUGUGCAGCCGGCUGGCUACACUCACAGGCUGUGGUGUGAAGAGACUUGGACCUGCUAAUGAACAUCUGAAUGCAUGUAUAUUCUUGGAAACCUGUUUUACCACAAACAUUUGAACCUGAAAUGCCAGAUUCAUAACCCAACAAACUGAUUUGUUGUCGACUACUGUGCUCACACUGGUUCAGAUGCUGUGCUUCUCCUGUGAGAAACCUGUGCAAGUUUCCAGAGUGUAAGAGAUUACUGCUGCUCAGGGAGCAACAUCACAGACGCAGUAGAGAUAAGUGGAUUUGUGCCUUAAUGAUUCCCUUUACUCCAUACUCUUCUCCUUUAAGCAAAUGAAAUCUGUAUAAGAAAUGACUCUAUGUAAAGUUAAAGUGGGGGAAGAAAGGGUUGAAAUAAUAUUCAGAAAGCCAUUCUAAGCUAGGUGCGAGCCUGGAAGUGAUGUCACUAAAUAAUAUGUAAAUUCUCUGAAUUUUUACAUCCUUUCCAAAAGAACUCUUCUCCCCAGAAAAUUCCCUUCAUUGCUUGCUUUAGUUAGGUUUACAGUGAAUGUUUGUGUCAUAAGUCAUACUCUGUUGACCAAAGGAACGGUUGCUAUUGACUGCAGUCAGAAGAGAUUGAAACUUUGGUUCCUUUUGAAAGAAAAGGAAUUGUUACUGUGCAGCAAAGCUGAUCAGCUGGGUGAAAGGGACAUUUUCUACAACUGACAGGAGGCAACCAGAGGUGAAUGUCAGGGAGCCUGAAUCUGGGGAGCAGGGCAGCCACCAAGUCUUGACAUCUCAGCAUCUGCUCCUAUUUGGUAGACUCCUGUAUUUACUGCUGCAGCACUGACUUUGCUUGUUAGGACUACAACUGCUGGUUCAGGGGUCUGCAACACCAGCAUGUUGGAAGAGGUAGGACUGUUUACAGACUUAGUAUUAGGUGUACAUUUAAACAAUUCACUAAUUCAAGCUUCUCAUCCCAGUUUUCUUCCUGAGAAAAAAUACUACUUUUGUCUAUAGCAUGCAAUCAGAUCUGCAUUUAAUCUCACAUUGGCUGAUGUGUACUACCCCCCAGCAUGUAAAGGAAAUGCUUACAUACAAAUAACUACCUUUAUUUUAGGGAUGUGACUUGCUUCACUAAUUCCCCAGGAUAUUUAUUUAUAAAAAAUUACUUUCAGAGCCUUUUAGUGCAUUGACCUUGUUUCAGGGUUUAGAUGGGAAGAGGGAGGGCUGGAGUUUUUUCUUAAACGCUGCAGGGGAUUUCUGUCAGGUUGCUUUAACACUUCGUCUCAGAUUCUUGCCAGGCUUUUGGGCUAAAGAAUUUUCAAAUGCAGCUAGCCGUCAUCACAUAGCUCUUGCGUUUGUACAGCAGUAUCUGCAGAAGCCUAUCAAAUAUGGGCUAAUGCUGAGAUGUCAAGGCCUUGGUGGCUGCUCUUUGUUUUAUAAAUAUAAAAUUGAUUUGGCUUUCAUGCGAUGAGAAAGCAAGAGGACUUAAGAAUAGAGGCACCAGAUAAGCAUCAUAAAUGCGUACAUCACUUUUAGUGUAUCAGGUGUGGAUGUUGUAGUGACCACUCUAUGGACUGAGUCUGUGCAUUAUAGCAGUUUCCUAUGCAAAGAUGCGGAAUGUUGUUAUUCCCCUAAAGAGCAGGAGAGCAGAGAAAGGGAUGUGCUGUGCUGCUGAAUUUUCCUUUCAAAAACCUAAGGGUUUCAUAGCAAUAGGUCACCACAUUUAGAAUCACUAAAACACUCAUGCUGUAAAAACACAGAACUCGUAGUCUUCUUUACCCCACUGAGGGUUAGCACUGCAAGGGCUGUUAACGAUUCCUUUAGCUUUCUCUUACUGAGUGUUUUCACAUAUAUAUCUACGGAAAAUGAAACAUGAUAUAACAUGCAUGGAAAAUAGAAGCAUGUACUACCCAAACCUCAUUCUCCAACUAAAGUAUCUAUUGUUUAAUAACAGAAGGUACGUAGGGAUUUUUUGGGUGGAUUACUGAGUUGAAGUGUAUUUCGUGCCCCCAAAAUAACAGCUUACAUGCAGACCAUAGGUGUCCAACCUUUUGGCUUAUCUACGCCUUACUGAGCCCAAGAGGAAUCAUCUUGGGCUGCAUAUAAAAUAAAAUAUGUAACAAAAAUUAUUUUUAUUAUUUUUUUUAGUAAAACAUUUUAAAAGGGAAACAAACACACAAGACUAGUGGGUUGGACACAUGAUCUAGGCCAUGAGAAGGUCCCACAUAUCUCUGGGCAGCAACUUUGGAUUAAAGGAACUCUAUUGAAAUGGCAAAUUCCUACUAUUUCUCACAGUAGAGCAGGUAGAACUGUUAUUCUCUCCUGUUACUUCCUGAUGUUUGAACUCAGUCCCUCAUUCCUCUACCAUUGCUUCUCGGUGUCACCCAGGGCUAUACAUAUGGCAACUGCACACACAGUCCUACUUGCAGAUGGGGCUUAGGCUAAAUGCUAGGCUUUGUGGCAUUUCUGUGCUAAUCUCUGAAGGCUUUUGGAUACACCCCUGAGGCAGUGCACUUCUAGAACCCCUGCUUGGCCAAACAGAAGUUCGGCUUCCCUGGGGUUAAAUCCCAAGAAGAUUUCAGUGGUAGUUAAGUUGGAUGUAGGCAGGUGGAAGUGUACAGCACUGCAAAAUGUAACUCCAUUGCCUCUUGGUUUUACUAAUGCCUCAAAGGAGGGCUGGCUCAUUCUAAGUGCAGUGCAAUAUCUAAGUAGAAAAAGAGAUGUUUGGAAAAAUCAUUCAUUAUAUUUUUCAGAAUAAAGCAAUCACAUCUUCCUUAGCAGAGAAUGCAAAGAAAGCUGUAAAUAUCACAGCUGCUCACUGGCAACUAGGAAAAAAAAAGAGUCAAAUUCAAAGCUUGCCACUUCUAUUCACAGUGAAUGACUUAGGAGUCAAAAGAAGAACAGGGUGUGUACAGUCUGAAGAGAAUAUUGCUGGUAAAAUUCUAAGGAUGCCUCCUAAAACUGGCAAUUGCUCACCAUGUCAGCUGGAAUAAAGUUUGUCACAUUGUAUGUCCAGAUGCAAUAUGGUGAUAUAUGCAAUUUCAGUCACUCUUUCCAAAUUGUGGGCUUUAUCUGAAAUGCUCUCAUACCCCAAACUGUCUGCAUUUUCAUUAAAAGAAUGAAUGUUCCUGUCAUCAUCUUGGUAGGAACGCCAACAGGAAAUAAGCUACCUCUAAAUGAAAAGAUGCAUUUUAUUGUUUGCGAAGCUGGGGAAAUAUGAGUCAAACUUACAACUUGGCUGGCAGGUGGUUUGUUUGGAGUAUGGAAUUAGUGCCUUUGUAGGGGUCUGACAAAUAGCCUGGGGUCUCAGACAAUGCACUGGCAUCCUGGUGGCUGCAUGAUCUUACAGAGAGCAUUAACUUCCCUGUGCCUCAGUUUCUUCAUCAGUAAAACUGUGAUAAUCAUUUUCUGCUGGAGUUUCCAGCUAAUAGGCUUGUUAUGCCCUGCAAAGCACUCAGAGAUCUCCAUCUGGAACAAACUACAGAAGUGCAAGUAUUAUUGCUAUUAGAAGUCCAUUACAGCUCUGUUUUGCUUUGUUCGUACUGGCCCUUUGGUACGUGCAGCUAGACAGCUCCUAAUGUUAUCUUGAUGCACAAAGCACUUUUUGUGUGAGGUUUGACUCACACUAAAAUGCCAGUUAGAAUUUUGUCCUCGGGAACUCACUGGAGCUUGGCUUACAGAAUCUGAAAAUUAAAUCAACCAAAAUAGGUCAAACACAAAACUAUAUGUCCUUAUGUGUCCUCUUGUCCUCUUUAGCAGUAUAGCGCAUAGUUGUUGUUUUCUUAUCUGUAAAGUUUGGGCCUGUUUUGUUCCUCAGCCAGCUUUGCUACUGAUAUCUUGGUUACAUUUUGAAUACCUGCUCUUGAGAAUUUUCUGUUCCCAUUAAAUAUAGUUUAGAAGGACACGCUCAUCUGUUAGUGGUCCAGAAAUAACGUGCUGAAUGCACCAGCAGCUGAUGCGACUGAACGCGAUACAAAAGUGUAUCAUUCUGUUAGAGUUUGUUGGUAGGCAUCAUUAUGGAAAUGUUUUUGAGCCUUAAAAAAGGGAAUAGUGUAUCGGAAAUUGAAUCAAACGUUAACAGAAGCUGCAGUUUGUGGUUUACUUUUCCCUCGUAGCUAGUUCUUUAGGAAUUAUUCCUGUUCACAUAAUCCUUUAAGUUAAUGUAUUUAUUCCGUGCGUGCUUUAUAAUUUCUAUUCAUUCAUAUGUCAAGUAGCUGAAGGUGCUGCUUCAAUUAGUAUUUACUUCAGUGUUAUACUGUUUUGAAUUGGUUGUUUGUUACAGUCACAAUGCAGUGAAUAAACGUGUUAAUAUUUGAAGUGGGAAGGGAGGUAAAAUGGGAAACCGUCUGCUCCAGUCGCGGCCCAGCUUUCUGGUUACAACAUAUUAUAAUUUAUUUAAACCCAAUCAAUACUUAAUCUGGAGUUUAAAUUCCGCUAAAGAUCUGUGGCAUAGCUAAAAGCAGCUGAUGCCAAAGAAAAAAAAUUUCUUCAGGCUGUGAUUCUGAUGAAUUUAUAAUGCGCUCUAAGGGUGAUGCAUUGACCUAAAUUCACAGAAGCGCCGCAAUUCGUAUUUAUUAUUGUGAAAGGUGUCCUACCAACACUUUUCUUCUUCUGAAUGUUGAGAGCCUGUGUGAGAAAGAUGGGCGGCUGCAGAGGAAGGAGCUGCACGCACAGCCCGGGAGGGUGGGAUGGGACUGAGCGCGGCCCUGUGCCGCACACCGGGCGGUGAGUCACUGUGACCCCGAGAUUCAAGGCAGGAAUUAAUUCAGCACUGCAAAAAUCUGGCAAAUGUUUGAAGCCAGCAGUGAAAGCAGACUUCCUGAGAGGUGUGUGUUUGUGGUGACAAUUUGGAUUUAUUUUUCUGGCAAUGCAAAAGACAUUGUUACGGCAGGAAGAAGACAGUUGUGUUAAAAACUGCUUCUCUUUUUUAGUUCUCCCCCCCCCCCCAGCCUUUCUGGGGAAAUAGAUUUUGAUCUCUGCGGCAUUUGGUUUUCUCUGUACAGCUCUUUAAACUCCCCCAGGCACAGCCAUCUCAGGGCAGGCCCCAUGGGCAGCUCCUACCAGCACUGCAGGGAUGUGCACACACCAUUCUCUUGUAAGGUCUGGGCAACCUCAUAUUUCCCAGCACAUUUUGGCAAGCUUUUACUCAGAGUGGUCCAACAGCUUUUCAUAGUAAGUGAAUGACUUCCCAGUGACCUGAGCCCUCUUCCAAGCCUCCUUUGUCACCCUGACAGCUUGCAGUCAUGCUUUUCUGAUCUUGUGCAAAGCUAUAUGUUUUACCAGAUCUGUAACUGCAGGAGACUUGGUUGUUCUGAAAAUUAACUGGAUGAAUAAGGGAAAUGUAUAGUGGAUAAAGGCUGACAAUCAUCCCCACUUCUUUUAUGAUACAAUGCCCUGUCCUCACGAGAAGGGAGAAGAGCUCAAUUCUCCCUCCUAAUUGAUAGGUGCAUACUUGUCAGAUGUGGUUUCCCCAGGCAGUCUGUAAGGCAGGACUCACCCCCCCCACACACCGUUCAUCCCCAGUCCCUCACCUGUGUGCUUCUGGGGCAUCACAUCAGACACUCUCCCAGCAUGUGUCUUCUUGCUCUAUUUUGUGCCCGCCUCUGCCCAUAUUGCUGCUGUAGUGGUUUAUGCCAGAAUAAAUAUGGGCUAGCAUAAAUCCUCAGGCUUGGAAGGCAUUAGCCUGCCUUUACUGUAGCACAAUCGACAGCUGUACCUGGCACCACGACCUCAUUGCACCCCAGCGUGGCAGCAUCCAGAGCCUUGAUGCAUUGGAGGAGCAGAGCCACAUGCUUGCUGAGGUUUGUUCCUCUGGGCUGGCCCUGAGGAUGAGAACAGCAUGCAAACACAGCUUCUCAGCAGGAGCAACUAUUAGUUUCAGCUUUAACCUUUACUUAAAAAUAUGAAGCUGCUGAGCAAAAAUGCAAAGGCUUAGUGUUCAAACUCACGCCUAACUCAGAGAGCUGGGUUCCUAGAACCAACUGUGAAUUUCAGUUUAGCAGCAAGGAAGUUUAUGUUCAACUUCAGUUUUUCUUCCAGCUAUAAUGCUCAAAGGGAGUACUUCAGUAUCUGUCUUGCUUUUUGUUAGGGAGAUGAAACAAAACAAAACACCAUUUGUCAUAAUUCUUUGGGAUUGCUAUUAUGGCCAGGAGAAAAGCGGGCUUCUGCUAGUUCAUGUACGAGUCAAAAGAAAGGCAUAUUCCUUUCCCCACAGGAUCCCAAGCGGAAGAGUUGGUGGAUGGGUAAGAUAAAAAUGGGUAUAGAUUGUGAGAGACAGGCUGACAAAAAAAAGUGCGUGCAGUUUUUUCACUAUUCUAGAGCAGUAAUUGUACUUUGCUUACAUACCUAAGCAUGUUUAGGUGGCAAUUUUCUUUCCUUGUAACAGAAGAGGUGACUUUCAAGAGAAUAAUCUGAAGGAGGUUGUGGUGGAUGACUGUUUUCCUUGUUGUUGGUUUUUUUUGUUUGUUUGUUUUGUUUUGUUUCUUUAAAUUCAGAAUGUUUUUUACCAGGUCAACAGGCCAAUUUCUCUCCAUUGUUCACAAAGCUAUUGGGUAUUUUUUUUUCCUUCCCACUGUGCCUUGAAAAAACAACUUCACUUAAGUUCAUGUGUGAAACCUUUUGCACAACAGAAGUGGUUUCUUGUGGCCAGUAAGACUAAAUGUUCUGAGCAUUCCAGGAAGCAUAUAAAUAGACUGAUACUCUUCCUAAGGUUAUAGAGCAUUAUUUCUCCCUUUUUUUCUUUAUUUCUCCUCCUGUCCUACUCCCCUACCUUCAGCUACGCUCUCUCCAUCUAGGCAAAGACCAAACAAAGUGCAGUGUUUGAAAAUCCUGACCAUCAUUUUCCAUUUUACUUGGGUUUUUCUCAGUUACAUGUUCUGAAUAGAAAUUGUUCGAGUAAAUGCAGCACAGUAAAUUAUCUUAAAUUACUUCUUAUAGUCCAGACUAGUAUUAUAACAUGAAAAUUGUUACUUGGAGUCUCCCACGCCCCUGGCUGCUGCAGACCUGUGUCUCCAGGCUGGGGAGAAAUGGAUCACAGUACUUAUCCAGCAGAGCCUGCAGGCCAAUCCACAAUGUGGAAAGUGGAGUUCACAUAAAGGAGGUCUCUUAUCCUUUCCUCUCAAUCCUGCUAGAUACAGCAAAGCUGUCACAAUGGUCAAAUAUAAUUAAAAUGGUGAUCUGCCACUGAAGGGUAGGCCAAUGUCUAUGCAGAAACCAGAUGAGGAAUUAUUCAAGCCAAAAACAUUAAAUCUCAGCUCAUCCGUGGUUACCAUAAAACAGCCAUCCUGUUCCUUUGAUCUAUGAUGAAUUUGAAUGUGUGUUAAUAAGACAUAUAUGCUGGGCAUCAACAUCAUCUUCUGUUGAACGAAGGUAAACACUGCAUUCGUCUCUGUAAAAUAUACUUCAGUAGUUGGGAAGAAAGUGGAGAUUCAUUAUUUUUGCAGUUGUAGAAGACAUUUAGCAGCUGUGUUUAUACUGGCAGACAAUUUGGAUAUUAGGUGGCAGGACAGAGAACUGCAGAUGCACGAUAUCGUGCAGACAUUGUGCACUUACAGCACAUUUCCAGGGAAACAUGUUAUUUUAUAUUUCCCUUGGUGUCAUUAAUCACGUUUCAUGAUGUAUCUCACUAUUUCAACUCAUUCCCCUAGAUUCAUUCAUUUUUUUGGCCUGUUUAUUUAAUAGUUAUUGAGCUCCAUUUCAACAAAUUCCAUCUUAACCACAGAUAAUAAAGUUCCUUUUGCUUCAGGGGAGAAAAUUAAGAUGGCCCUGUACUGAUUUCAGGGACUACCUGUAAUAGUCAGCAUGUCUGCUGCAUCAGAAAGAUACUUUGUUUGCCUUUGGUCAGAAAAAUGUUCAUGCUGUUCUUUGCAACUUAAAAAUUAAACUCAUUUCCUGAAAGUAAAAAUAUGAUUCUUAUCUUGAACUAUAAAGGAAAACAGCUGCACUUUAUUCUGUUCUCGAAGUUCUCUAAUCUCUCUGGAGGCUUUGUUUUGGUUUCACAGGUGAAUCCCUUAAACUGCAGCAGCAAUGAUGGCUCCUCCUUGGCAGAAACAUGCUGAGAAGCAGUUGGGAAUCCCCUGCUCUGGAGCUGCAGCCUGAGGAACCUCAGCGUGUAAGAAGCGUCUCUGAGGCACUCACAUGGUGAUGGUUAUACAUCUCCUGCUUACCCCAACUUAGUGAAAGCUGUCUUCAAGCAAAUAAGACUGGCAGCAAGGCUGGGAGUGCAAUCACCUGCUGGCAUAAUCCCUGGACUCUUCUUAAAGGAAUUCUAAAAAGGGAAACUCAGGAAUGCCUACCUGACUGUCCAGAGAACUGCCAUCCAGAGGAGCAUCCUACAGCAGCACAAGCAUUUCAUCUUCUGGAUUUGUGGAGACAUGUGGGAUUUGUUCAUGCUGAAGGCAGGAGGAAGUCAAGGGAGAAAAAAAGAAUUCUGGGAGGAAACUUGGUAAAACCGAAGAUCCAAAGUGAAACAUCAGGAAACAUCACCAAAAUGAAGCCCGUUGGAUGUUUGCAGCUGUUUCUUUAGUCCUGAUUAACAGGGAUUUUCUGAGAAGAGCUGCACAAGUGCAGUCCCCAUUCAACGUACAGAUUUUCCAGAGUGAUCUCCAAGUUGUAAUGGACAACCUCUUUCCUGCCAGCAGAGCCCAGAGAGGAAUAAACCAAGACCACCAGCUAAGUCAUUGUGUAAUGUGCUGUGGAUAUGAGCAUCGAAUGCCCUCAGAAAACUGGAGUUGUUAUGAGAAUGGUGCAAAAGAAUCUUAUGAGAAAUAUCCAACAAAAUGUCCACUUCACGAUGUCACUUGCUCCGAGUUUCAAAAAAUCAUUAAAUAUAAUUACGCUAAUUUGGCAAUGACUCAGGACCAAAUCAUCCUUUUGCGGGAAUUACCUACGAAGGAAACUGGACGCUCCAUGGCAUCUGUGUCAUCCUUCCCUCCAGAUGGUGCCUCAAAAUCUGUUCUGAAAUGGCAUGUGCAAAGCA